rnacentral:rRNA from 1 species
AAACAUUGAUAGCAUCCCACCCCGCUAUCCGCCCGGGAACUACGAGCAUUAGCUUGAAACCCAAAGGACUUGGCGGUGCUUUAGUUCCACCUAGAGGAGCCUGUUCUAGAACCGAUGACCCCCGUUCAACCUCACCUCUCCUUGUUUCUCCCGCCUAUAUACCGCCGUCGUCAGCUUACCCUGUGAAGGUUUUAAUAGUAAGCAAAAUUGAUACAACCCAAAACGUCAGGUCGAGGUGUAGCGCAUGGAGAGGGAAGAAAUGGGCUACAUUUCCUGCCACAGGAAACACGGAAGAUGUACUGAAAUAUACACCCAAAGGAGGAUUUAGCAGUAAGUGGAAAAUAGAGCGUCCC